ACCUGGAAUCUCUUAGCAGAAACGAGAACAUUGAGGGUCAGAUUUAGUUACCUUUGCUCCAUGAAAAGGAGUACAUGCAGGUGAAGAAACUCCAAGAGAAGAAUCUCUCAAAUAUGGUCAACUCAAGAACAAAAGGUCUUGCAUUUACGACAUGAGACGAGACCAGACGAGACUAGCACUGAUGAUGUUACCUAGUUUGGGUAAUGAAAUAUCUGCAAGAAAGCACCUACCAAGGGCCAAGGACCCCUCCGUCCACCCACUACCCAGAAACAAGAGGCAGAUACAACUGGGAGCAGGAAUUACUCAUAAGUAGUAAUAAAAAGGAGUAA